rnacentral:rRNA from 1 species
AACGUAGGACGCAAGCGUUAUCCGGAGUUACUGGGCGUAAAGCGCGGGCAGGCGGUCUGGCCAGUCUGAUGUGAAAUCUCCUCGCUCAACGGGGAGCAGCCAUUGGAAACUACCAGACUGGAGUCUGACAGAGGUAGGCGGAAUUCCGGGUGGAGUGGUGAAAUGCGUAGAGAUCCGGAGGAACACCAGAGGCGAAGGCGGCUCUUUGGCCUGUAACUGACGCUGAGGCGCGAAAGCGUGGGGAGCAAACAGG